GAUGAACGCUGGCGGCGUGCCUAAUACAUGCAAGUCGAGCGAACGGACGAGAAGCUUGCUUCUCUGAUGUUAGCGGCGGACGGGUGAGUAACACGUGGAUAACCUACUUAUAAGACUGGGAUAACUUCGGGAAACCGGAGCUAAUACCGGAUAAUAUUUUGAACCGCUUGGUUCAAAAGUGAAAGACGGUCUUGCUGUCACUUAUAGAUGGAUCCGCGCUGCAUUAGCUAGUUGGUAAGGUAACGGCUUACCAAGGCAACGAUGCAUAGCCGACCUGAGAGGGUGAUCGGCCGCACUGGAACUGAGACACGGUCCAGACUCCUACGGGAGGCAGCAGUAGGGAAUCUUGCGCAAUGGGCGAAAGCCUGACGGAGCAACGCCGCGUGAGUGAUGAAGGUCUUCGGAUCGUAAAACUCUGUUAUUAGGGAAGAACAUAUGUGUAAGUAACUGUGCACAUCUUGACGGUACCUAAUCAGAAAGCAACGGCUAACUACGUG
rnacentral:rRNA from 1 species